rnacentral:tRNA from 1 species
GCCGGGGUGGCUUAGUUGGUAGAGCGUCGGACUCAUAGGGUAGGUGGACUGAAAAGUCUGCGCAAACGAUGAGACGCAUCUGAGAAAUCCGAAGGUCGCGGGUUCAAGUCCCGCUCCCGGCA